GUGGUUCAUCCUAGUAUGACUUCUGAGCUGAGAAGUGCUUUAGUCCUGGACACCGCACACAGAGUGAGACUGGUUCCUGCCAACAGGGCCUGUUGAGUGCUCGGGCUCCCUGUGCGAUGGUUCCACACACA